rnacentral:rRNA from 1 species
GGUUUGGGGUUAGUCGCACGAGCGCACCCUUAUCCUUUGUUGCCAGCACAGUAAAGGUGGGAACUCAAGGGAGACUGCCGUCGACAAAACGGAGGAAGGCGGGGAUGACGUCAAGUCAUCAUGCCCCUUAUGUCCUGGGCUACACACGUACUACAAUGGGCUUAAACAAAGCGAAGCAAGCCCGCGAGGGUAAGCCAAACGCAUAAACAAGCUCUCAGUUCGGAUCGGAGGCUGCAACUCGCCUCCGUGAAGUCGGAAUCGCUAGUAAUCGCAGGUCAGCAUACUGCGGUGAAUACGUUCCCGGGCCUUGUACACACCGCCCGUGGGGCGGGGGCGGCGGGCCGGGCGCG